CGGAAACCCUAAAGAUAAAAUAUCGCCUAAAACAGUACCCCGAAAGGCGCUAAAGCUUGCUUCUUCCACUUGCUCGCUCUAACUUCAUUCCCGCCAUUUCUUGUAUCUUCAUCAUCUAUCUUCGUCCUGCAGGAGCAGCCAUGGUUGUGCUUAGGUCUCGCGAAGUACUCCUUGCUGACCCUGCUCCCAAACCCCAAACGAAUCGGGUCUCUCCGGAGCCUGUCACUCCUGUCCAAUUACGCGAACCCUCCAUCCGCCAGUCAUCGCCUUCUCUCACCCCGAACCUCCAAAAUCACCAAUUGGCUUCCGAGUCCGCUUCCAUCACCGAGUCCUACCGGAGACGGAGCCUCCGUCUCGCUUAUAAAUCAAUUCCAGUUGAUGGUUGCAUUCAAAAUGGGUCCCGGAAGACGAAGGGUUCCGCCAGCAAGCGCUCGAUUGAAGAGAACGAAGGGAUUGAGGAGCAAAAUGCGGCGUAUGUGGCGGAUCAAAUUGCUAAUGAAGGUAGUGUGAAAGAUAAUGGGGCUGGAAUGAGUUUGCCUGGGAUUUUGAACUUGAGGUCUGGGAAACGGGCUACUAAGAGAUUUAGAGGUGAUAAUUCGGGUGUUGAGACAGGAACAGAACGUGAAGACAAGGGUUUGAAUUUUGAGGAGAAUGGGAGUGCUAAGCGGUCGAGCGGACAAUAUGUCACUGAAGGGAAAGGAAAGGGCAAAUUACGUAAGGAAGAGAAAUCCCAUGUUGGGCAAGUUGGGGAGAAUUUAAUUGACAAUGGGAUUAAACAGAUGGUGGGAGACCUCGAGAGAGGGAAGGGGAGUAAAGUGGAUGUUGCUAAUGAGAAAUUGGAGGAAAAGAAAAACAUUGAUGAGGGUAGUAAUUCAAGGGGAAGGAAGGGAUGUGGAAGAGAAGAAAUAAGGAACAAAGGCGAAGAUGCUGUUGUCACUGAGCAAUUGGGGAAAACCCAAAAUCAGAGCAGCAAUUCAAGGGGAAGGAGGACCUAUAGCAGAGAAGAGAAAGGAAAAGAGAAAUUGAUUGACGAUGCUUCAGUAUCAAAUGGUAAGGAUGCACUGGAAUUGGAAUUGAAAUCUAAGGUUAAGGAGUUUGUUGAUAGUUUAGGGGAUAAAUUGGUGUUGGAAAAUGAAAGGCAGACUAGGAAUUCAAACACAAGGAUAAAUGAAUCAAGAAUGGAGCAAUUUCGGGAUAUAGCCAGGAAAAAUGCUUCUCGAUUUGCUCAUUUUGAUCUUCAAGAGGAAGAGGAACCUUUGUCUCCUCAGGUUGAUGUAGAAAUGACAUCUGUGGAAGAGAAUCAGCAAAUUGAAGACUGGCCAGGUCCUUUCUCUACGGCUAUGAAGAUUAUUAGGGAUAGAACAAAUAAGCAUAACUCACAGCAGUGUCCCUCCACUUUAGAAAAAGCAAAAUCUAUGCCAAUAACAUGGAUUCCUAGAAACAGCCAGGGCUCUAAUCGCUCAAGAGCAUUUGUUGUUCCUUCGCUGCAAGAACUAUGCAUGAAAGUUCUUGUGAAGAAUUACGAGGCAGUCACUUCACUUGAGCAUAUCCCAGAUGCUUUGAGACAUAGACUUUGUCGGUUGCUCUGUGAUUGUCGGAAAAUGAAUUGUCAUUUUUUGGAUCUUCUUGUCCGUGGAUCCCCUACAGAGAUACGCGUUAAGGAUUGUUCAUGGCUGACAGAGGAAGAAUUUGUGAAAUGUUUUGAGGACUGUGACACCAGCAAUUUAACGGUUUUACAACUUGAUCAAUGUGGGCGCUGCAUGCCCGAUUAUGUUUUACCUGCUACAUUAGCUAGGUCAUCAAGAAGCUUGCCUGUGCUAAUUACUUUAUCCCUGGCUGGUGCAUGUCGGCUUUCUGAUGUUGGGCUUAGUUUACUUGUUUCUUCUGCGCCUACAAUAAGAUCUAUAAAUCUUAGUCAGUGCUCCCUCCUUACUUCCACUAGUAUUGACACUUUAGCAGACUCACUGGGAUCAGUUCUGCGGGAAUUAUAUAUUGAUGAUUGCCAAAGCCUGGAUCCUAUGCUUAUUUUGCCGGCACUGAAGAAGUUUGAACAUCUGGAGGUGUUAUCUCUGGCUGGAAAUCCAACUGUUUGCGAUGAUUUUGUGAGGCAAUUUGUUGUUGCAUGUGGUCAUAAUAUGAAGGAGCUUGUUUUGGCGAAUUGUGUGAAAUUGACUGAUUCUUCCAUGAAGAUUAUAGCUGAAACCUGUCCUGGGUUAUGUGCGCUUCACCUUGAUAACUUGAGGAAAUUGACAGAUUCUGGUUUAGGAUAUCUUGCAAAUGGUUGCCGAGGAAUUCAAACUUUAAAACUGUGUCUCAAUGCAUUCAGUGAUGAAGCUAUUGCUGCAUUUGUGGAGACCGCUGGGGAGCUUUUAAAAGAACUUUCACUGAACAAUGUCAAGAAGGUUGGCAACAACACAGCCUUAUCACUUGCCAGACAUUCAAGAAACUUGUUAAGUUUGGAUUUAUCUUGGUGCCGGAACUUAGCAGAUGAGGCAGUGGGUUUGAUUGUGGAUAGCUGUUUAUCAUUGAGGGUGCUUAAACUUUUUGGAUGUAGCCAGGUGAUGUACUUUGUUAACAUUAGGUCUCCUAGAAAAUUUCUAUGUAGCUCUCAAUUUUCAUACGAUAUUUUAUGAGUCCUUGCUGGACCUGGGAGUUCUAAGUUGUCAUGGUACUUUCUUCGCAGAUCACAAAUGUGUUCCUAGAUGGUCAUUCGAAUCCAGAAUUAGAAAUCAUUGGUUUGAAGAUGUCACCGGUAUUGGAACAUAUUUGGGCACCUGAUUCACAAGAAUUUUUGUUGCGAUAUUCCUCGAUGAACUCUUCUAUGUAGCAUGAAGUAGUUAUGAUGUUAAGAGUGGUUCGAUGGUUGAACAAGUUAGAAUGUUUUUCUAUAGCCAAAUGCAUUUACAAGUUAUGCAACUGAGCGCUUGAAGGUCUAUUUUUGUAAACAAAUCUGCAACUAUCAUUUAUGGACUUGUGCACAUGAGUUGACAUCCAUCUGAUAAAUGACAUUUAGCAUGGACAUUAUCUAAAUUAAAGCCCAUUUUUUUU
rnacentral:misc_RNA from 1 species